GGAGCUGUGCCUGAAGUAAAGGACCACUUUGAUAGAGUGAACCAUGGGGGUUAAAAUCCCCCCAACUCCU
rnacentral:tRNA from 1 species